AUUUCUGCAUAAAUUGGACCGGCCCAAAUAAGAAAGGUAAAUGGGUUUACACAUACAUUUUAGCCCAAAUCAGUACGACACCGUUUGGUACAUCUUCAACCGGUGCUCGACAACUCCUUGGCCCUUGUAUGCAUAUUACUCCAUCCACAGUCUAUUAGAGGUUGAACGCCACGACGCCGUUUUCUGGUCACUCCCUUUCUAUAAACUGAUAUACGCGCCCGUGUGUGGCAGCUUCUCUCUACUCGCGAGCAAUUUCUGCUGAUCCUUCGUCCCUCUCCCUUCAGUCACGUAUAUAUACACACCAAGUGGGAGUUUAGGGUUUUUAUUCAUUUCUUCAUUUCGCAGAAGCCAAGGCUUAUAGACACAGUAGUUUAGUAGGUAAAAAUGAGUAUAUGGAAUUAUGUGGUGACGGCUCACAAACCGACGAACGUUACUCAUUCCUGCGUCGGCAAUUUCACCGGCCCUCAGGAGCUCAAUCUCAUCGUUGCGAAAUGCACUCGAAUAGAGAUCCAUGUACUCUCGCCUCAAGGCUUACAGCCGAUGUUGGAUGUGCCAAUUUAUGGGAGAAUUGCAACGCUUGAGCUCUUCCGUCCACAUGGAGAAGCUCAAGAUCUUCUUUUCGUAGCCACAGAAAGAUAUAAAUUCUGUGUUUUGCAAUGGGAUGCAGAGACCUCUGAGGUUAUUACAAGGGCCAUGGGGGAUGUUUCAGAUCGAAUUGGUCGUCCUACGGACAACGGACAGAUUGGUAUAGUGGAUCCAGAUUGCAGAUUAAUCGGACUUCACCUGUAUGAUGGAUUAUUCAAGGUCAUCCCAUUUGAUAACAAAGGCCAGCUCAAAGAAGCAUUUAAUAUUAGGCUUGAGGAGCUUCAAGUUUUGGAUAUCAAGUUUUUGUACGGUUGUCCGAAACCAACAAUUGUUGUACUUUAUCAGGAUAAUAAGGAAGCUCGUCAUGUGAAAACGUAUGAGGUCGCUUUGAAGGAUAAAGAUUUUGUUGAGGGUCCAUGGUCUCAGAACAAUCUUGAUAAUGGGGCAGAGUUAUUGAUCCCAGUUCCGCCGCCUCUUUGUGGUGUCCUAAUUAUUGGCGAAGAAACUAUAGUGUAUUGCAGUGCCUCAGCUUUCAAAGCAAUCCCAGUCAGACCUUCUAUCACAAGGGCUUAUGGAAGGGUUGAUGCCGAUGGUUCACGCUACUUACUAGGCGAUCAUAAUGGGAUUUUGCACCUGCUUGUCAUAACCCAUGAAAAGGAGAAGGUCACUGGACUCAAAAUUGAGCUCCUGGGCGAAACAUCUGUUGCAUCGUCGAUUUCAUAUCUUGAUAAUGCUGUUGUUUUUGUGGGGUCAAGUUAUGGAGAUUCACAGCUCAUAAAGAUUAACCUUCAUCCGGAUGCAAAAGGUUCUUAUGUGGAAGUUCUUGAAAGGUUUGUAAAUUUGGGGCCAAUUGUGGACUUCUGUGUGGUUGACUUAGAGAGGCAAGGUCAAGGUCAGGUUGUAACUUGCUCAGGAGCCUAUAAAGAUGGUUCUCUACGCAUUGUGCGCAAUGGUAUUGGAAUAAAUGAGCAGGCAUCUGUAGAGCUUCAAGGAAUCAAAGGAAUGUGGUCGUUAAGAUCAGCUACUGAUGAUCCGUAUGACACUUUCUUAGUUGUUAGCUUUAUUAGCGAGACACGUAUUUUGGCGAUGAAUCUUGAGGAUGAAUUGGAGGAAACUGAGAUAGAAGGAUUUUCUUCAGAUGUCCAGACAUUAUUUUGUCAUGAUGCUAUUCAUGACCAGCUUGUGCAGGUAUGGUGUUAAAGCAUUUAAUAUGUGUUAUUUACUGCUUCAAUAUGUUUUGAGUUAUUUUCAGUUUUUUCUGAGGGUAGGAAUUUCCUUUAACAGGUUUUAUUGGCUAUUGGUGGUGGCCAUUUGGUCUAUCUGGAAAUUGGUGAUGGUGUAUUGACAGAAGUAAAACAUAUUCAGUUGGAGUAUGACAUCUCUUGCCUGGACAUAAAUCCAAUUGGUGAUAAUACAAACCAUAGUCAACUAGCAGCUGUUGGAAUGUGGACGGAUAUCAGUGUUAGGAUAUUUUCUCUUCCCGACUUGAAUCUUAUUACAAAGGAACUUUUGGGUGGGGAGAUAAUUCCUCGCUCUGUACUUCUGUGUUCUUUUGAAGGGAUAUCGUACUUGUUAUGUGCUCUUGGGGAUGGACAUCUUCUGAAUUUCGUGUUGAAUACGAGUAAUGGUCAGCUGGCGGACAGGAAGAAAGUAUCUUUAGGGACCCAGCCCAUUACACUUCGUACUUUCUCUUCAAAGAAUGCUACACACGUGUUUGCUGCUUCUGAUAGACCAACCGUCAUUUACAGCAGUAACAAGAAAUUGCUUUACAGCAACGUAAAUCUGAAAGAAGUCAGUCAUAUGUGCCCUUUCAAUUCUGCUGCUUUCCCUGACAGCCUUGCAAUUGCUAAAGAAGGCGAAUUAACCAUUGGGACCAUAGAUGACAUUCAAAAGCUUCAUAUACGAUCUAUCCCACUCGGGGAGCACGCUCGACGUAUAUGUCAUCAGGAACAGACCCGGACCUUCGCCAUAUGCAGUUUAAAAUAUAACCAGUCAAGUGCAGAAGACUCUGAAAUGCACUUUAUCCGCUUGUUAGAUGAUCAGACUUUUGAUUUCAUAUCAACUUAUUCACUGGAUCAGUUUGAGUGUGGUUGCUCUAUUCUUAGUUGUUCGUUCUCCGAUGAUAAUAAUGUGUACUACUGCAUCGGGACUGCAUAUGUUAUGCCAGAAGAGAACGAACCUACCAAGGGUCGGAUAUUAGUCUUUGCCGUAGAAGAUGGAAAACUCCAGCUGAUUGCUGAGAAGGAAACGAAAGGGGCUGUUUACUCUCUGAAUGCGUUCAACGGAAGACUCCUUGCUGCCAUUAACCAGAAGAUUCAGCUGUAUAAGUGGAUGCUCCGUGACGAUGGCUCUCGUGAGUUGCAAUCCGAAUCUGGUCAUCAUGGCCACAUACUUGCCCUUUAUGUACAAACUAGAGGAGAUUUCAUUGUUGUCGGUGACUUGAUGAAAUCAAUUUCUCUGCUUAUUUACAAGCACGAGGAGGGUGCUAUAGAAGAGCGAGCUCGAGACUACAAUGCAAAUUGGAUGUCAGCUGUUGAGAUUCUUGACGAUGACAUUUAUGUUGGUGCCGAGAAUAAUUUCAACCUCUUCACUGUCCGGAAAAACAGUGAAGGGGCAACUGACGAGGAGAGAGGGCGUCUUGAGGUGGUCGGAGAAUACCACCUAGGCGAAUUCGUCAAUCGGUUCAGACACGGUUCGCUUGUAAUGCGAUUGCCCGAUUCUGAUGUUGGGCAGAUUCCAACAGUUAUAUUCGGUACAGUGAACGGGGUUAUAGGGGUAAUUGCUUCUCUCCCGCACGAGCAGUAUGUGUUCCUGGAGAAGCUCCAAACGAAUAUGAGGAAAGUGAUCAAAGGUGUGGGAGGACUGAGCCAUGAACAGUGGAGAUCUUUCUACAACGAAAAGAAAACGGUUGAUGCUAAAAAUUUCUUGGACGGUGAUUUAAUAGAAUCGUUUCUCGAUCUCAACAGGAAUCAGAUGGAAGAGGUUUCGAAGGCGAUAAAUGUACCGGUGGAGGAACUGAUGAAGAGAGUAGAAGAACUGACUAGGUUACAUUGAUCUCAUUCCUUGUUCCUCCUCUAUGAUGGCUGUUAUAUCUAAACUGUUGUUUUUGUAAGAGUAGCAGUAUUACCUUCUCUUGCUUCCUUUGUUCCUUAUGAUAGCAUAUGGGACUACUGCUUCUACUUUUAGAAUGUUCAUAAGAUUAAUAUUUUUGCAUUUGUCGGUUGUGAGAUCCUUUUUUUUUUCUUUUGAGUGACACCUUGUGGAUUGAUUACUCUAUUUCUCAAUUUUAUGCUUUUUAUUCAAA